AUUGAACGCUGGCGGCAUGCCUUACACAUGCAAGUCGAACGGUAACAGGUCUUCGGAUGCUGACGAGUGGCGCACGGGUGAGUAAUACAUCGGAACGUGCCCAGACGUGGGGGAUAACGAGGCGAAAGCUUUGCUAAUACCGCAUACGAUCUAAGGAUGAAAGCAGGGGACCGCAAGGCCUUGCGCGUUUGGAGCGGCCGAUGGCAGAUUAGGUAGUUGGUGGGAUAAAAGCUUACCAAGCCGACGAUCUGUAGCUGGUCUGAGAGGACGACCAGCCACACUGGGACUGAGACACGGCGCAGACUCCUACGGGAGGCAGCAGUGGGGAAUUUUGGACAAUGGGCGAAAGCCUGAUCCAGCAAUGCCGCGUGCAGGAUGAAGGCCUUCGGGUUGUAAACUGCUUUUGUACGGAACGAAAAGGCUCUGGCUAAUACCUGGGGCACAUGACGGUACCGUAAGAAUAAGCACCGGCUAACUACGUG
rnacentral:rRNA from 1 species